UACAUGUGGGGCAAGCGUUGUUCGGAAUUACUGGGCAUAAAGGGUGCGUAGGCGGCUUGUUAAGUCAGGGGUGAAAGUUUUCGGCCCAACCGGAAAAUUGCCUUUGAUACUGGCGAGCUCGAGUGCGUGAGGGGUAACCGGAACGAGUGGUGUAGCGGUGAAAUGCGUAGAUAUCACUCGGAAGGCCAAAGGCGAAGGCAGGUUACUGGUACGCAACUGACGCUGAGGCACGAAAGCGUGGGGGGCAAACAGG
rnacentral:rRNA from 1 species